rnacentral:rRNA from 1 species
GACGAACGCUGGCGGCGUGCUUAACACAUGCAAGUCGAACGAAAAGGCCCUGCUUUUGUGGGGUGCUCGAGUGGCGAACGGGUGAGUAACACGUGAGUAACCUGCCCUUGACUUUGGGAUAACUUCAGGAAACUGGGGCUAAUACCGGAUAGGAGCUCCUGCUGCAUGGUGGGGGUUGGAAAGUUUCGGCGGUUGGGGAUGGACUCGCGGCUUAUCAGCUUGUUGGUGGGGUAGUGGCUUACCAAGGCUUUGACGGGUAGCCGGCCUGAGAGGGUGACCGGCCACAUUGGGACUGAGAUACGGCCCAGACUCCUACGGGAGGCAGCAGUGGGGAAUAUUGCACAAUGGGCGGAAGCCUGAUGCAGCAACGCCGCGUGCGGGAUGACGGCCUUCGGGUUGUAAACCGCUUUCGCCUGUAACGAAGCGUGAGUGACGGUAAUGGGUAAAGAAGCACCGGCUAACUACGUG